AAAGCAGUUUUUAACGCUUCCCUAUUUUUCAGAUUAUUUUAAGUGGCCACAAUUUCCUGCAUGCCAUUAGGAAACACCAGCUAAGAUUCUGAAAAGUUGCUGAAAAAGACAAGUUGAUAGGUCAUCAUUUAUCGGCGGGACAAUAAUUCUGUUGUUUAGAGGAAAGCAUGCCUACAAAGAUAUUUUUACAGCAUGCCUUAAAGAUGUUUAGCCAAUCAUAAUAAGAUAUUUUCCUUUGGCUUAAAUACAAAUUAAAGAGAAGGAAAAGUCUUCACAGAUUCCAGGCAGAUGUUUGGCUCGCUGGAGAAAUAAUAAAAGUCAAGAUUUUGUUGCAUAAUUAGUGUGAAAAAGAGCAUGAAUCAGACAAAAAAAUUGAAGUAGUUUUGACGAAUUAAAUGAAAACACAGCAUGGGAUUUGAUCUUCCAAAUAUUACAUAAUCUCGAUAUCAGCUGGACUUAGUGAU